AAUAAACCAGCAGCAUGAGAGCACAUCCUGUAAGAGCAUACAUAUUGUCAUGGCUUUUCAUGCCUUCAAUUAAAACACCUACACUUCUUGCCAAGUCACUUACUCCCAGCUAGCGCAAACACAAUUACAAGCAAACCAAAAUGCAUAAAAACAUCAAACAGUGGCAUCCUAUCUCUCCAUACAAACACCAAUCAGCGCUACCUCCAAUCCUCGGAUCACCGGCCCGGCCUCCAGCAUCUGCAGCUAUGUGCUCUUCAGCUCGCAGUGCCUCCACGCCUUGGUCCAGCAUCUCCUUGGCACCUUCUUGAGUGCCUGCCAAAUUUAUCAAAAUUAUGCAUAUUCAGAUCAUAGAUAUUCAGGAAAUUGGGAGCGAAUAGGAACAUACAUGACAUACGCAUUACUAUUGGAGAAGACUUCGUAAACUGCUUAUACAAGAAAUGGACAGGAAGAAAAAGAAUGGCCAAUAUUCACAUUCGUAUAAGUUUGACCUCAAUAAAAUUUGAGACAUGUAACAACUCAGACUCAGAUUUAUGUGUUUACAGUGUACUUUGAUAUACAAGUUGGAAACCUCGAAUACAUAGCCAGAAAGAGAUUGGUACACAUAAGAAAUUGAUCUUAAAAGAAUUUAAGAACCACAGGGGUCUACAGGUUUACUUAGCCCUCAGGUUUACCUAGCUAGUUUAACAGAUUUAUAACUUAAGAAACACAGGGGUCUUAGUAGCAGCGUUCAAUAAACCGAUUGCUUUGCAUUUGGCAUGCAGAGUGAGAUAGAGGUGGAUAAGAAGUUCAAAAUGUCUAAAAAGCAUGGUUGUUCUGCCUCUAAUUUAUCUUCAGAAGAUCAAAUCAAAGAGUUUAUGAGCACAAACUAUUCUUGCUACUUAAGUCCUCCGUCCAAUAAUAUAGGAUCGUUUUGCAAGAUAAACACUGAGGGAGUAUAUGGCAACUCCAUUAAGGAAUUUUUUGGUGAAUACUCCCUUGAGAAAUUAAUCAAGAUCAUCACUCAAUUUUGCUUUUCUGAUUACCACUUCAAAAUGGCAACGAAAACAGACAAACAAAUGAAUCAUUGUUAUGUUCUUGAGCUUGGUUAGCUUCGCCACGAGCACAUAAAAAGUAGCAACUACAAAAUAGUGUAACAACAACUACCAAUCAAAAUAAUGAACUAUCUAGCAUGAGACAAGCAGUGUGAUAAUUAUGAAAGCUGGGAGAUAACUAGGACGCAACAGAAAGUUUGCCAUACCGUCGGCGUAGAUAACAACGAUGGUGGGAAGUUGCUAUAUGCGUGAGUACAAUCGACACCGUGUUGAAGUGUUACUCCCUCAAACUGGAAUCUCUACCAGAAUCGCGACUAAGUCUGUGAGCCAACUUAUAUUCCUGUCAGCCCCACGUAAGCUCACAGGAAAGUAUCGUUUUACUGUAGGCCGGGCUAUAGCCGACAGGUUUUUGCACUAUAUUCCUGUAGGCUUUGAGUAAACGCACAGGAAGAAUAUAUCCCUGUGGGUCGCGGCCCACAGAAAUAGCAUUCGGCCCUUCGCGCCCUCGGGCUCUCGCUUCGCGCCACCGGAUUUCAUUGCGCGCGCAUUUUUAGCCGAGGCCCAUCCAUUUUGUCUAUUUUCCUGUGUGUUUGGGCUCACAGAAUUAGGCCCAGUACAAAAUGAGAGGGCAAACAGAACCCUCUCGAUCCCUAGUUCAGUCUCCAGAACCCUCGAUCCCCAAUUCAGUCUCCUGCCACUCCACCGCCGCCGCCACCAUCGCCCUGUCCAACGCCACCAUCGUCCGGUCCACCGUCGCCGCCUCCAUCGUCCGGUCCACCGCCGCAGCCGCCGCCACACCAUCCUCCGGUCCACCGCCGCCGCUGCCUCCCCUUCCCGCGGAAGGCCGUUCUUCCGCCCGCAUCUGCCUCACCACCGGCGUAGCGCCGGUCUCCACCUCGCCACCCGCCGGAGCACCAGCACCCGCCUCCCCACCGAGCUCCCGUACUAGUCCCCCCAUUCAACUUUACGCGUCUUCACCUCUGGCUGUCCGUACUCCUCUGCUCGCUGCAUCACAAGCCCUCUGUCUUCAUAUCUCUGGUAAUAUAUCACCUCCUUUUCCUGGAUCUAAGAUUAGCUUGCUCUAUUUCUUGUGUAGCGUUUAAGCUUAGUUGAAACUAUUUUAGGCACGUCUGAUUAGUAUACGGUUGAUUUGAACAGAUUAGUUUUGGUUGUUCUUAGAUGUAUGUUGUAGCGUCUGUAGCAACCUCACUGAAUAGCUAACAUGUUGUAGCUUCUGUACAUGACCAUCUAACUGUUUAUUUUUUCUAGGUUGUAGCUUCUAUGACAUCUGCUACCUGCUAUCUAUUUUAUUCUAGUAAAGUUAAUUUAACACGUAUAAUUUUCCAGAAACAUCAGCAAACAGCUAGGGGAGUUGGCUGCCACCCUUUUCGAUGCCGUAAUUUCCCAGCUUGAACAAGUAUAUUGGUAAGUUAUAGCUUUGAGCUCUUAAAUUUAUGUCUGAAACAAUUGUAUUUUUGUGAAUUGUUAUUUGUGCUGCUGCCCUUUAGUAUGCUAUUAUUUUUCUGAAAUAUCCCCAUUUCUGUGAAUUUUAUUUUAGUAUGAAUUCUUGGUUAAAUAAUGGAGAACCGUGAUUGGAUGUAUAGUGGAUGGGUGUUUGGUCAAGUCCCUUCUAAUAUAUGGCUUGAAGAAACUGCACGAUUUAUAGACCGUGCCUUCUCUUCCAUAGCUGAAGGUGGUAAAAUUAAGUGUCCGUGCACCAAAUGUCGGAAUUAUUUUCCGCAAGAAAGGCACAUUGUAGAGAAACACUUGUAUAAACAUGGGUAUAAGCCAAAUUACAGAACCUCGACAGAACAUGGUGAGAGUUUUGUAGCUGCUGCUGAUGGAUCUGUCCCUUUAGUACAUCAUCAAGAGGGCUGUAAUGAAACUGAUCGAAUGGACAAUAUGUUGGUUGACUUAGGUGGUAGCCAUCCUCCACCGGUUACUGAGGAGCCAACCUCCUCUGCCAAGGCUUUUUAUAGGAUGGUCAGUAGUGCCGAUGAAUUGGUACAUGAGAACACAAAACACACACGUCUUUCUGCUGUAGCUCGCUUGCUGGCUAUGAAAUCACAAUACAACAUGUCCAUUGCACAUUUUGAUGACACCUUAAAAAUAAUCCAUGACAGCCGCAGAUCGUGUGAAGGAAGAGUUUUGGGUAAGUAGAAUUUUUUUUGGAGCAAUUGCAAUUAUUAUUAUACAUAUCUUUGUAUUGCUGUAAAAAUCUGAUCUAUAAAUUUCUGAACAUGUAGAACUUGUUUGAGCUGCAUGUUGAUGACGAGGAAGAUGACAGUGCCCGAAUCCAAAUUGAGCAAGAGGCUAACCGGAUUAUUGACACAUAUGCAAGGAAAAAGGUGAAAGACAUGUUGUACCAACUUCGUGUGGAUGCUGUGAAGCUUUACUAUGAGAAUCAAGGAGAGAAGCUUGAUGACUCGAUGGCUUGUGCAAGAGAACUCGAAUAUGAGCAAUACCUCCAGAGUAGGAUACCAUGGUGCAAGGAAGUUGCAUGGCCUGGACGAUGUCGUUAUUGGACAUCAAAGGAAUACAAGACCAACAUGGGGAGGGGACGAGAAGCUCGCUUGAAAUCUAAGGAUAUUGCUCCAAACCGAGGAGGCUCACGACCUUUUGCGGAGGCACAACAAUAUUUGGUAUGUCGUGAUUAUUGUAUGAUUUGCUUCACACUUAGUUUUUCUAUUACAUGAUGAUGCCAUGACUUUGCUUCAAUUUAUGUGGUCUUAUAGGAAGAGACGCUUGGACCUGAGAAGGCGACCACGCUGAAUACAUAUACUGCAAUGAAAUGUGGAAUGAAGAAUGUGAGUAGCAGUGGCAACAAUGGCGCAAUCAUUAGCAAUGGUGCAAUCAUGAGCCAGAAAGCACAAAAACGCUUUGUAUGUCAUCGUUUCUACUGCCAUAUUGCUUAUAGGUUUUUAAGACGUUAAUUUACUAGCAUGUUGUGAACAACCUAUAAUUUUUGAUUGUCAGGAUGACUAUACUGCAUUGGCUAAAGAGAAGUAUCCAGAUAGUUGGGAGGGAAGAGAGCUGGACGGUGAGCUGCUGUAUGAAGCAUCAGGUGGCAUUCCUCAUGGUCGCGUGUCAAUAGGCGAUGGGGCUAUUAAGAAAGCAGAUAUUAAAUCAGCAGCUAGAAAAAGAAAUGUCAGUGCAUCAAUUUCGCUCACACUUCGAGAGAAGGAACAACUCAGGCGUGUUAAUGAAGAAAAUGCAGAACUCAGGCGUGCUAAGGAGAUGCUACAGCAGAAAGUAGAUAUGCAUGGGCAGCUCAUAACUGUAUGUACAAAUUCAUGCACACAUUCUAAAGCAAUGGAUCUCAACUUCUCAAGUAUCAACUCUAGUAACAUUUCUUCUUUGUUUGCAGGCACUUUUCAAGGAGAUAGGAAAAGAGUUGCCAGCUCAUAUACUACAUAUACUAAGCCAUGGAGCUGUUUCGCAACCAGAAGUAAGUGUAUGAGAAACUUGAAGUUGUAUAUAUCAUAUGGAUGAAUGUGUGAUGUCCACUACUCAACUUAGUUUUGUGCAUUCCUUCUGACCUGUCUACGCUGAUGUGGCUGCAAUAUCAACACUGUGUUGCAUAUGAGAUUGUUUAUCAUGUUUUGUAUUAAUUUGUUUGGAUGUUUGCAUCUGUGAGCUCGUCUAUUCUCACAAGAUUCUUUAGCUGUUGUGCCCAAUUUCCGUAUAAAUAAUGCUUGCCAUGCUUAAGGUCCAUCUGAUUGGAACUUGAAAGUAGCCUAGACAAAAUCAGUUCUUGGUGCCAAGCAUUAAUCAAUAAAUGGAUAUUAUUUGGUUCGUUUGGUUAUGUUGUCUCCACUUGUUAUCUAACAAAGUAUUGUGUUUUUAUUGUUCUAAAUCGGAUUAAAUAACAAUUUGGUUACUUCUUGAUUCAGGGAGAAAUAACUCAUCUCAAGCCGGCUCGCAAGCGGUUGAUGGCAACAAUGAUGUCAUGGAGUCAAGCGAGGAGGAUGAAGCCACUGGGAAUGUCGGCGAUCAGACCGUUGACGCAGCCAACCAUGGCGGAAACUGAUUGCUCAAUCAACAUGAUAACAUCAGACUAUAGGUGGUCGUAAUAUGCUCUUUUGUGGACUUGUGUAUCUGGUAUGGCUUAGGAAUGAGAACUGAGAUCUGGUGGUAGUUGCAAGCCGGCGCAUUUUGCUAGUAUUGUUGUAGUUGGCAGAUCCUUUUGUGGAUGGUACCUUUGUAGCCUCGUAGUGUAAUUUGUUGAUAUAUGUAUGUAUGGAACUGAUGUUGAUACAUCUGGUGGUAGUUGCAAGCCGGUGUAUUUUGCUAGUAUUAUUGUAGUUAGCAGAUCCUUUUGUGGAUGGUACCUUUGUAGCCUUGUAGUGUAAUUAUAUAUGUAUGGAACUGAUGAUGCUAUAUGAAGUCAUAUGUUGUCAUAUAAAUAUAUUCUCAUAUGGUUUCUGUGAAAUAAUGCAACAUUUGUAGAACCUGGGUUAAGCACAUUGCUUUUGUGGUAGGAAUAUGAAAUAAAAAAUCAACAUCAUGAUGUGACAGUGACGGCCAAUGGCUCACAGGAAUGAACGCGUGCUGCAGCAACGUAGUAUAAUUUUCCUGUCGGCUGAACCUACAGGUAUAAGUCCUUCCUGACAGUCUUUCCUGACAGGUGGACGACAGGAAUAUGUAUUUUCUGGGAAGCAUAAAUCUGACGCAACAUUUCUUUCCUGUGCACCAACCGUCAGGGAUAACCGACAGCAUUAAUAUUCCCGUGGGCCGUCCGUCAGGCAUAUUCAUUCAUUCCUGGCAGGCUAUGGCUGUGGGUUGUUCCUGUCGGUUGGCCGACAGGAAUUAUAUUCCUGACGGCCAUAUUUCUUUUCCUGACGGCUACUGGCCCACACACUUAGUCACGUUUCUGGUAGUGUCUAGAGGUCCAGGGUGAAAUAGCCUGCAUCAUGACAGCCUCCAUACUUAUAUAGGAGCAAGUACCUCCCUGUUGAACCAAUGAACAAGUAUUGAUAGUCCAGUAAAAUUCUCUUCUCUCUCUGCUACUGGCUGGAAGUCCCUCCACUGUUUUCCCUAGUGCUAUAUUUGAUGUAAGAUGUGUUAAAUGCACGCACAAACUUCCCGGGCCUACCUUCCCCUCCCUCCACAAUGGCUAGUACGAAGGCACAUAUAAGAACAAACAAAUUUGCAUGACGAAAUGAUGCAGUAGAUUACAGAACUCCUCACUUGUCCACUAGCACAUAUAAAAAAUUAACUUCCUACUUACAGUGGCAAGAAAAUCUUAUAUGAAUGUGUUAUAAUAAAUAAUGCUAACCAUGAAGUCUUCUUUCAUAUAACAAAGGAGUGAUGAAAACAAAAAACCUGUAAUUCAAAUACGACAUGCAGUUAGUUAAUUAUUUGCAUGUCAACAGUUCUAAUGUCUAGCUACAGAUCUUCAAAGUAAAGAUUGUGAACUCUAUUAGACGUGAUUAUAUCAAUUAGACCAACUAGAAAAUAAUUCAAUAUGUUGUAAACGAAGUUCAAUCUAUCUUCUGAUUAUUAGUGUUUCAGUUAGGUGAUUAGUCCUUCUACGGCCGCCGGUUAAUAGGUGAGCCAUGACUUUUUACAGUAAAAAAUGCAAAGGAAAUAACAGGUUACUCCAUUGAUCUAACUAGUAGUGAAUGAGCUAGUGUAGGUUACUCCAUUGAAUGAACCCAGCUGGUGUAUAUAUAUGGACGCAGCCACCACCAGUGGAUACAGGUUCUAAUCAAAUCAGACUCAACUAUUAACCGACUUGGACUACAAAUUCCUAAUCCUGGUAUUAUACUCCUACCAACGCAGCUAGAUAGCUAGGACAAGUCCUAGUCGGACUCAAGUUAGUAUUUUUCUUAAUCUAAUUAUACGGCCACGAUUGAUCACACCUUACGCAGCGAGGGUAAUGACCACACUUCAUGCAUGAGUAGUUCACAAAUAAGAAAGCAAGCAUAUGUGUACAUAGACACAGAACAGGAGUAACCGCCACUUAAUUUGCUGAUCCAUUACCAACAGUUAGUUUACUCUGUUCUGUCAGGUGAGGCUCCUGGUUGCAGAUGUAUUAUUGCUCUAGUACUAAACUACUAAUCAGCAGCAGCAGCAAUAGACAAAUCAAGCAUGUUUGUGUCAAUUUUUGCAGGUUGACAUGUUAUUACAUAAAAAAAACACUGAAACUUUUAUAGCAUACCACAUCACAUACAUGACCUCUCCUAAGAAGUUCCAGAUUUUUCAAAACAGAAUGACAACAUAUAUAUGAUCCUAGGAGCAAACAAUAAUAUGAUUUUGUGCUAUUAAUAUCAACAUAAUACAGCAAUCACUAUGCAGGCAGAGUAUUAGUCACGCUUUUGAGUGAUGCGUGAGUGUUCCUAGUACUAGCAGCAAUGGAGGCCGGAGCUUAUGCAACAGCGGAGACAAGGAUGAAGCCACAAGAGAAGGAAGGAACCAAGUAAGUAGCAGCAGCAUAGUGCAGAUUGGAGUACGAACCUGAGCUGCUGCUGCUGGCCACCGAUGGAUCUCCGCCCUCUGUUUUCGCCGUCGACUCCCCGCCCCCAAUCCCCUUGCCUCCAAUCGAUGGUCGCUGAGGCUCUGCCGGUCCGCCACCAACCAACCGACCGCCGCUAGCGCAGCCGCGUCUCCCAGUCCCAAAUCCACCGGCGGUGGAGGCCGCCGUGGUGGAGCGAGGGAGGGAGCGGGGACAUGAAGAAAUGUGCAGGGGGAGCGAGAGGAUUUGGGAGGAGAAGAAGAGGCGACUAUGUUUUCUCGGCGC
rnacentral:lncRNA from 1 species